GGCCGAGAACCGCCUAAGAACAAUCUUAAUCACACAUUAAGAGCCUUGUCAUUGAAAGAGGGUGACAUCACGCAGUGGACACCAGGAGAGUCGUGGGUGAUGGUCAAGAACCGCCCAAGAACAAUCUUAAUCACACAUUAAGAGCCUUGUCAUUGAAAGAGGGUGACAUCAGGAUGACCACACCAGAGGCCAGUGCCAUGUGCAUGAAGCCUCCAAAAACAUAAGCAGAAGAAAUGUCUCGUCUUGAUGAAUUACCAUCUGUGAUAUUCUGUUACAGCAGCAGAGAACAGCCUAAGACACUCCAUUUCUACUAACGGGCGUUUGAUGCAAUAGUCGUCCUGAAAAUUCAUGGAGAAAGUCUGCUCCGAAACCAAUUUUCUGCUCCAUAACAUCUGCCUUUGGAGAAUCUCAUAUAAAUAAGGAAUGAGGUGCAGAUGUCGAAAGACAGUGGGUUCUGACGGUGUCAUUCCAAGUGGAGAGGGGUGAUAAACGCCCAUCAGAAUUCAAAUAAAAUAUGAACUUCAGAGAAAGGGAAAAUGUGAUGUGACCCUGCACGCUCAGCUGAACAUGGCAGAAACUGUCCUGUAGAGAAAUGGAACAGGGAUUUUAAAAAGUCACCUUCCUUCAUUUGCAUGUAUAUAUAUUAUAAUUCAUUUCCAGACGUGAAAGUAAGACUGAGAUUUCAGCUGCUGAAUUAUACAUCUUGAUUCUUGCAUACAGAGGACACAAAAACUUUCCCCCGAAGGCCUAAAUAAUGAUGUCCAGCCUUAUUCUUCCUUCGACAUACCUCACACACAAACGAGGAUGGGCCAUCCUUUCUGGAACUCUGUCCCCAGGACAUGCGGUGAAAGCCACAGAUAAAGAACCAGUGAAUAGCCAAGGGUGUGCAAAAGUGUAGGCUUGUGACUCAAUCGUGCAGCCAUGGGGAAGGACAGAGCCAGGGCAGCCGACAGCACCGUUCCCUCUGGGCAGCACCACCAGCAGGGACCACUCUCACCCUCUUUACUAGAGACAGGGAUCAAGACUCUGCAUGGCGACUUCAAGGAGCACAGAGUGGAAAAAGGGGCAGUCACUUUAGAGUGGAGAAACCCGGCAACCAGGCUUAGCCAGGAAUCAAGGUCAAUGUCAGCCAUGAUGUCUGAUCCAUGACACGGGCCCUCAAUACACCGUGAGAGACAGCCACCUUCCCUCUGUACACCCCAGGCGAAUCAGGAGCAAAGCACUGGACAAAUCCCAACGGAGCGACCAUGCACGGAACACCUGGCCAGUCCUCCUCACAACUGUCAAGGUCAUCGAAGCAAGGAAAGUCUGAGAAACAGUCACAGCCAAGAGCAGCCCAAGGAGACACAAUGACUGAAUGUCACAUGGGAUCCUGGGUGGGAGCCUGGGAUAGUAAAAGGACAUUGGGGAAACUAAUAAAGUGUGACUGAAGUGUG